ensembl:lncRNA
GGGGAAAUAAUCUAGUAUGCAACUCGUCAUUAUCUUCCCCCGUUACAGCAGGCACAGGUGUACCAUCAUCAACAGCACCACCGUCACCACAACCAUCACCCUCAACAUCAUCACCACCGUCACCACAGCCAUCACCAUCAACAUCGCCACCCCCCACACCACAGCCACUGUCAAGUUGUCCGGUUUUGUUCUGGUUUUUGGAGGGAGAAGCCCAGCACAGUGACCUGACUGCAAUCGUGUGUUUGAGGCACUUUUCAUCCAACUCUACGAGCAGUACUGUGGAUCAAGGAGCGUGUAUGGAGUCAGGCACCAGUGUUUGAGCCAUACCCCCACAUCCGGUAAUACUUUUAGGCACUGCACAGGGGAACAAGCACGGGAGAACUGUCGUGAGCCCAGAGAGGCUCCAUCUUCUGUUCUGAGGCCUGCUCCUGAAAUUCCUCUCCAGUCAACAAAACCAGCUCUACAACCACUUGCCCACACCUCCACUUCUCCUGCCUGCCUCCCAGAUUCUGGUUCCUGUGGUUCCGGUUCUAAACCUGCAGAAGCGUCUCUGAUGUCCCUUACACCACCCUCACGCCGGUCAGAGGAGGAGUGGGCAGUUGGCUACUGGAGGGACUGGCUCAUCGAUGUGGAAGGUGGAGAUGCUGUAUUGGUGGUGGAGGACACAGAGAACAGAGUGACGCUGACCCAGCUCCUCAUGUUUGUCACUGGGGCGGACAGAGUUCCUCCCCUGGGAUUCCCAGGAGAGCCAACAUUAAACUUUUGGCACACUGGCACUGUCUUCCCGGAACCAAACACGUGUGCACUGAUUCUGAAGUUGCCUCUUCAC